UGGCAGUUGGUAUAAUGGGCAACAUUGUGAUAUUUAACAUGUUUACAUCGCAGACGUGGGUUCGAAUCCCGCACUGCGAC